AGGACGAACGCUGGCGGCGUGCUUAACACAUGCAAGUCGAGCGGUAAGGCCCUUUCGGGGGUACACGAGCGGCGAACGGGUGAGUAACACGUGGGUGACCUGCCCUUAGCUCUGGGAUAAGCCUGGGAAACUGGGUCUAAUACCGGAUAUGACCUCGCGAUGCAUGUCGUGGGGUGGAAAGCCUUGUGCGGCUAGGGAUGGGCCCGCGGCCUAUCAGCUUGUUGGUGGGGUGAUGGCCUACCAAGGCGACGACGGGUAGCCGGCCUGAGAGGGCGACCGGCCACACUGGGACUGAGACACGGCCCAGACUCCUACGGGAGGCAGCAGUGGGGAAUCUUGCGCAAUGGGCGAAAGCCUGACGCAGCGACGCCGCGUGAGGGAUGACGGCCUUCGGUUGUAACCUCUUCAGCCCUGACGAAGCGAAAGUGACGGUAGGGCGAGAAGAAGCGACCGGCCAACUACGCGCCAGCAGCCGCGUAA
rnacentral:rRNA from 1 species